rnacentral:tRNA from 1 species
AAUUAUAUAGUUUAAAUUUAAAACAUUAUAUUUUCAAUAUAAAAUUAUUAAAAUUAAUUAUAAUUA